rnacentral:rRNA from 1 species
UGGGGAAUAUUGCACAAUGGGCGCAAGCCUGAUGCAGCGACGCCGCGUGGGGGAUGACGGCCUUCGGGUUGUAAACUCCUUUCGCUAGGGACGAAGCUUUUUGUGACGGUACCUAGAUAAGAAGCACCGGCUAACUACGUGCCAGCAGCCGCGGUAAUACGUAGGGUGCGAGCGUUGUUCGGAAUUACUGGGCGUAAAGGGCUCGUAGGUGGUUUGUCGCGUCGUCUGUGAAAUUCCGGGGCUUAACACCGGGCGUGCAGGCGAUACGGGCAUAACUUGAGUACUGUAGGGGGAACUGGAAUUCCUGGUGUAGCGGUGAAAUGCGCAGAUAUCAGGAGGAACACCGAUGGCGAAGGCAGGUUACUGGGCAGUUACUGACGCUGAGGAGCGAAAGAAUGGGUAGCGAACAGG